ensembl:lncRNA
UGUGCUUGUAAUACAGUAUACACACACAGCUGUACUGAGCAGUGGGCAUAACUCAUAAACUUUAAAAAAAGUAGAAUUGUUUUUAUUCUUCUUGCAGAAAUAGAUCACAACAUAUUCAAGGCUAAUGGUGUAAGUCCAUUUUUAAACCUACCUAGUGGAGUACUGUCCCAACAAAAAAGUUGUUCUGCAGUGUUUUCUUUCAAAAGAAAAGAAAUCCAUUCAAAAUAACCAUCAAGCUACAGUCAGGCUUUUUGUUUGGUUUGUCCCAAGCAGCCCCUUGCAGAAGAUUAUAAGCUACAUUUGUCUCUGUUUCUUGUUCCACAUGGAACCACGUGUAGAGGUCAGAGGAGCUGUGACUGCUCUUCUGAUCUCUACAUGGUCAUAAUGGUCACAACACAGUUACAGAAUUCCCCACUGCUACAGAGAUGCUGUGUGGAUGGUAGAGUAGGGUGUGAUGCUGCUCCCAGUGCUCAAGUUUUGCUUCACAAUAAGGCUAUUUUUGGGCUGUGGUUCAGCCCUCAGAACACCUCAGCAUCUCAUUUGCCUGCUGUCCUUUCUCAAGCUGGACUUCCUGAAGAAGCCAUGAUAGGCGAGUAUCUCUGUUGUCCCAGAGCAAGACCACCAACACUCAACAAACGUGCCUGCCUCACCGCAGUCCUUUCAACAAGAAGCCAGAUGGCAACGGAGGCACCACAUUCCCCAGGAGCUCAGCAGAGAUUUGCGAGAGGGGAAAGAACAACUACACCAUGAGUAAAUCUGAAUAAUAGUUUUGUCAAUACAGUGCAGUUAUUCCUAUGAAACCCUGAUAACGUUGUUCAGUUUAUCUUAUCAGUUUCUGUGUUUAUCUUCCAUACUGAAAGAAUUUGCCAUACCUUUUUUCUCUUGUAAUUACUUUAGACGUUAAUUGAAAUGCACAAAUCCAAUUUUUUACCCUGCUUUAAACUGGACAAAAAUUGUGAGUCUUUUCAAAGGGAAGCCAUAAUACAGAAAAUAGAUGGCUCACACUUUCUCCCAUCCAAUGGGUGCAAUUAAUCUUUGGGUGCUAAAAACCACUACAGCCACACAGGUUUUAUUUCUAAACUGAUUUUUUUUGUUGCCUACUUUCAUUAAUGUAUAAGCUAGUGCUGUGAAUCCCUAACAGAGGUUAAAUGAUUUUAAAAGUCUGUUCCUGAUUUCAGAGAAUUUCCACUGAAAAGUACCACAGUGAACUUGGUGACUGAGAUGAUAGAUAAAUCUAACAUUUAUAUAAAAAAAAAGAAAGAACAUGUAGGAACCCUCCUGAGAUAACACCUUGGUCAUGUGUUGAAAUACUGACUGUGCAAUUUAUUAUAAUUAAGGUUUAAUUUCAACACUCGUGUUUGUUGGUGUUGUCCUUUUUAAGUGCUGUUAUUCAAACAAACAAACAAACUUCUGGAUUCUGCACCUCGGAUAGGGCAGCUUGGGAUGUAUGGACAGGAUGGAGAAUGAGAUGCUGGAAGGCAGUGCCACAGAAAGGGACCUGGGGGUCCUGGUCGACAGAAAGUUGAAAGUGAGCCAGCAGUGCCCACACAGCCAGGAGGGCCACCCAUGUCCUGGGGUGCAUCAGGCACAGCAUGGCCAGCUGGACAAGGGAGGGAAUUGUCCUGCUCUGCUCCGCACUGGGGUGGCCUCACCUCGAGCACUGGGGGCAGUUUGGGGUGUCACAAUAUAAGAAAGAUACAAAGCUAUUAGAGAGCACCCAAAGGAGAUCAACAAAAAUGGUAGAAGACCU